UACGUAGGGGGCAAGCGUUGUCCGGAAUCAUUGGGCGUAAAGCGCGUGUAGGCGGCCACGCAGGUCCGCUGUGAAAACUCGAGGCUCAACCUCGAGCUGUCGGUGGAAACCGCGUGGCUAGAGUCCGGAAGAGGGGACUGGAAUUCCCGGUGUAGCGGUGGAAUGCGCAGAUAUCGGGAGGAACACCCGUGGCGAAGGCGGGUCCCUGGGACGGUACUGACGCUGAGACGCGAAAGCGUGGGGAGCGAACAGG
rnacentral:rRNA from 1 species